GAUGAAGAACGCAGCGAAAUGCGAUAAGUAAUGUGAAUUGCAGAAUUCAGUGAAUCAUCGAAUCUUUGAACGCACAUUGCGCCCGCCAGUAUUCUGGCGGGCAUGCCUGUUCGAGCGUCAUUUCAACCAUCAAGCCCCCGGCUUGUGUUGGGGACCUGCGGCUGCCGCAGGCCCUGAAAAGCAGUGGCGGGCUCGCUGUCACACCGAGCGUAGUAGCACAUCUCGCUCAGGGCGUGCGGCGGGCUCCUGCCGUGAAACCCCCCACUGUAACCCCAAAGGUUGACCUCGGAUCAGGUAGGAAUACCCGCUGAACUUAAGCAUAUCAAUAAGCGGAGGA
rnacentral:misc_RNA from 1 species